rnacentral:rRNA from 1 species
CAUGCCGUAAACGGUGGGCGCUAGGUGUAGGGGUCUUCCACGACUUCUGUGCCGUAGCUAACGCAUUAAGCGCCCCGCCUGGGGAGUACGGCCGCAAGGCUAAAACUCAAAGGAAUUGACGGGGGCCCGCACAAGCGGCGGAGCAUGUGGAUUAAUUCGAUGCAACGCGAAGAACCUUACCUGGGCUUGACAUAUACGGGAUCGCCGCAGAGAUGUGGUUUCCCUUGUGGCUCGUAUACAGGUGG